rnacentral:lncRNA from 1 species
AUUUAUUUCAUGAGAUGCAAUAAAGAAUGAGAAUCAGGUAGAACACAAUAAUUCUUAUUAAUAAUAACAAGAUGAUGCUACAUAAAAAUGAAAACAAGAAAAAGGAAAACAAAAAAUCACCAUCAAAUCAAUACUCGAGCUAAAUCCGUCGUGAAGAAUACUGCAACAAUAAUAAGUUAACAAGGAACAAAAAUUUGUACUGGUAAAAUUAAAGGUAAAAGAAAAUAGAAAGGUUAUUAGGUAAAGAUGAUAAAUCAGAAGACAAAUGCAAAAGCCAUGGCCACAAAGGAGGCGAGGAAAGUGGGAACAAAGGCGGUUGCGUCGGAAGUGGGGGACGGCGCCGGAGCGUCAGCGGCUUCGACGGCGGAGAGCGCCAUGAUCAUGAAUGCAACGGCGACCGUCUUCAUGCUCUUGGCCUCCAUCUCAACAAGUUUAUCGAAGCUGAAUAGUUACACACACAAGAGAGAAGAGAAGAGAAGAGAGAGUGGUGUAUGCAGCUAAUAAGAGAAUAUGAAUGUAUAUAGAGAGUUUAGGGGUUUAUAUAAUACAUACAAUACAAAGAUGACUUAUUAGCUUUGUGUGAGAGAGAGAGAGAGAGUAGGGGCAGUUGCCCGGGAUGAAAUGUAGAAAAAUUCCUAACGGUUAACACAAAUGAAUUAAGAUAGGAGACCGCCCACUCUUUUUUUGAAAAAAAUUACUCCCUCCGUCCACGAAUUAAAGCCCCAUUUGAGGGUGGGCACGGAGACUAAGAAAGCUGAAAAAGGUGUUGUGGAUGAAAUAUAAGGGUAGUUGACUAAAGUGAUAAAGUAGUUGACUUUAUCACUAAUGAUAAAGUCAUGGGUCCACUAAUGAUAAAGUGUAAUAAAUAUAGAAUAUAAAAAUGAUAAAGUAGUUGUAAGGUGGGUCCAUUAGUGGCAUAGUUGUUUGAGAGAGAGAGAGAGAGAGAGAGUAG